AGCAGCAGCCGCGGUAAUACGUAGGGUGCAAGCGUUAAUCGGAAUUACUGGGCGUAAAGCGUGCGCAGGCGGUUAUAUAAGACAGAUGUGAAAUCCCCGGGCUCAACCUGGGAACUGCAUUUGUGACUGUAUAGCUAGAGUACGGCAGAGGGGGAUGGAAUUCCGCGUGUAGCAGUGAAAUGCGUAGAUAUGCGGAGGAACACCGAUGGCGAAGGCAAUCCCCUGGGCCUGUACUGACGCUCAUGCACGAAAGCGUUGGGAGCAAACAGGAUUAGAUACCCCAGUAGUCCCUGUCUCUUAUAC
rnacentral:rRNA from 1 species